AUGGCCGCCUUCUUGGUAUACAAUACGAGUCUUCACUUCAAGGACAUGGACAUGGGAGGAGAGGUGCUGGUCCGGAGAGGGGAGGCCGCAGGGGCCAUUGCUGACAUGCACUCACCUAGGGCUAGGGAACCAGAGCAUCGCUAUGCCGUCUAUUGGAAAGGAGCGCUUUAUGUGCACUGCCAAAACGAAUCCAUUAUGCGCAUAACCUUGUCGAAUGGCGAGUAUGAAGUUAUUAAAUCGCCUACAAGCAUGGAUGAGUUUACAGAUUUUUAUAUAUGGAAAUCGAAGAGGGGGCUGUACUGUGCUUUAAUUUAUAAAGAUAGAUCAUACCGACUUCAGGUUUGGUUACUUAGUGAAUUGAGGGGUAAAAUGGAGUGGGGGUUGAAGAUUGACACCAGCCUUGUGCUAGUGGUGGCAAUGUUUUCUUGGUUGUCUCACGAAGAAAAUUCCGUUCCGUGGAUCUUACAUGGUGGUAAUUAUGAUGGAGAUGGUAAAAAAGUGAUCGUGGAAGAGCAAUGUGAAUGGGACUUCAACAAUGGUAGUAUCCUUGAGACAAGAGAUGGGGAUGAAUAUGACUUUGUGUCUGGUAGUAUUUAUUUCCUUGGAUUUCAUCCGUAUUAUGAGAUUGCCUUCUUGUGGGUAUCAAGAGCAAGAGUAGUUGCCUAUCAUUUGAGUAGCUUGAAAGUUCAAGACUUGGGCAUGUUACACGUACAAUGUGUAGGAGAUUCCUUUCCAUACACACCAUAUUGGACAGGGGAGUUAUUUGGAAAGCAUUGA
rnacentral:rRNA from 1 species